GAGGAGUUGGUCGACUCAUCAGGCUCAUGACCUGAAGACCGCAGGUUCGAAUCAUGU
rfam:Triticum urartu cultivar G1812 contig637503, whole genome shotgun sequence.